CACAGAUUAUUCUCUUUCUCUAUAAUCUAAUCUCACACUUUGAUUUCCUUUGCAUCAUUCCAACACCAAUUUUCAUCUCUUAUCUUAAGCACUUCACUCUGUUUCCCUCAGCUAUAUAUAUAAAUAGUUGAGGGGUCAGAUUCAAUAGCAUCAUUUUCUGACCCUGAGUGAUGAAGAAGUAGGAAGAGAUCAAUAGUUGAAACAGAAUCUACAGUACAAGCACCCUUCAACAAAAUGAAAGGCCCCAAAGACUGUUAACUGAAGCCCCCACAACUGAGUCUCAGGAUCAAACAACUGCAACACAAGAUACAGCAAGAAGGUAUGAGCUACAAUAUAUGUGACAUCUCCAGGAUCAUUUUUCCUUAUUCUAAGUUUUAAUGUUCACUGUUUGAUUCAGAUCGUACUAAAGCAGAAUAUGUAGUUGUGACAUGUUAUGGUGUCAGGUGUGUGUUGUUGCACUUGCAGCAGUUAAUUUUACGUGUGAAAAAUUAAGAAUGAAGGUAACAUUACGCUAGGAUCACAAUGAUUGGUGUUUCAGAAACAUGAGAGCACCGUUAGAAUUGUAGCAUAGCGUAAGCUGGGAAAGCUAAGUCAUGCUCAAAUUUUCAUUUCAAAUCUUAAAAAUAUUUAUUCAUGAUUUUUUUUGUUUCAUUUUUACUUUAUUUUCAUUCUUUCUCUAUUAAAUUGAAGAUGGAUGAAUGUAUAGAUACAUUUAUCCUUUUCAUUCAAGGCCUCAAUGAAAGAUCUCAUAUGGAAGAUAGUUUGUGGAGUAGGAUUAAUUUCUCCCUAUAGAUCUGCAUACAAAGAAAUAUUUAAACAUUUCGGGAUCAAAUUAUCUAACAUCUUCUGUUUAUUUAAAUAGUACAAAGUACAAACGUUCA